CAGAAACAUUGGGGACCACUGCCUUAGUAUAUCCAAGUGGGUCCAAUGUAAUCACUAGAGUCCUCAAAAGGAACAGAGGAAGACAAAGGAGAGCCAGAGAGAUGACGGUGUGAGAAAGACUGGGCCCAAUGUUGUUGGCUUUGAAGUUGGAGGAAUGAGGAUGGUCUCUGGAAGCUGAAUGAAGACAUCCCCUUCAAGGUGACUUGCUGGAUCUGCCCACUCAAACAGGUCCUGGGGAAGUGGCCAGGAGCUCUGUGAGCCUCCGAGUCACUUGAGAUGGAAGAAGUUUUGUGUUGUGGUAUCUCUGAGCUGAUAGAACACUUCCAAGCUUCUUCUUUAUUUCAGAUGGUCCUCCUGAAGGCACGGAGUCUGAUAGGAAAUUCUCGUGCCUGUAAUUACUGGCGAGUUGCAUGACUCCUGCAACGUGGAGCAGUUGGCCUAUUGUACAAGCUAUGAUGGAUGUGUACUGGGUACCAGCAGAUGAGCUUCUCCUUUAUCAGCCCUCUCCUCAGGAGACAUGGGUGCUGUGAAAGGGAGAAUCCAUUCCAUACAGCCUGGCUUGUCUGGGUUGCCAAAGGAAAAGACCUGCCUGAAGAGUUCCUCUUUAUAAUUUACCACUGGAUUUCAGCCUUCCACCCAAGGCUAGUUGUUUCUCCAAACCAGCUGAAAUCUCUAGUGCCUCAGUUGCUUGUAGUAAAGGAUUAAGAGUUCUGAUUGCAAAUGGAGGGAAAUAAAUGUCAAGAUAAAUAAAAUCAAUGCGCUUUGGCAAAUAAAGGAAGCUGGAAAUACCAAAGAGAGAUGAAAUGUUGCUCCCUCCCCCAAACACACAGACUAAAGUCAACUAUGUUUGGCAAUUCUUGCUUCUUCCAGGAAGAAGUCCCUGAAAAUUCUCACAAAACAUCUCAUUCAUUAUUGUAUUUGAAUAAUAAAGUGGCACAUUUU
ensembl:lncRNA